GUCACAUCCAUAUGUGUAAUGAAUUAUGAACGCCUUGCCUAUUUCUGUAUCCCAAGGAGGCUGAAUCAUAAAUUCCUUGUGCAAUACAUUACCGACAUUAUGCAAAGCAGAUGCAACUGCAUAGGCGUACAUCUCAAGAACCCAACCAAAGGCUUUGUCUGCUUCAGGAUCCUUUUUCAUGGCCAAAGAAACAUUCAUCCAUGUGGGAGCUAUCUUCUUUAAAGCUUCCUUGCUAAGGAUGACAGGUGAAUUUCCGAUGGGAUCAAUAUCAGUUAUAGGUCCAUUUUGUUGAGGGAAGAACUUUCUUAGUACAGAUUCGUACUUUUUGGGUUCA
rnacentral:misc_RNA from 1 species